GGAGGCACCAAAGUUGCAAUAAGAAGUCCAAGGGCAAUCAAGAGAGACUUCAGGGCCUUGGGACAACUUGCUAAGGGAUCGGGAGCACAAGUACCACGAUCAACAGGAUGUUACAAGCAACUUCCUUGGAGCAAUGUGGUUGAUUUCAAUAACAUUUCUAUCCAUUGGAUAUGGUGACAUGGUACCUAAUACAUACUGUGGGAAAGGGGUCUGUUUACUCACUGGAAUCAUGCAACUACAGUGACAGCCUUCCUGGAUGACCCCUUCUUAACAGCUCUUUUCCCUCUCAGUUCACGUACAUGGACUUCCAGCUUGAAGGUGAGUUCACCAUCCCACUUCCUCAUGUCUUCCCCUUGGUCAUGCAGAAAGAACCAGAGUUCACCACAUGGCCUGUGCUUGGGGUUUCCUUUCCCUCUGACUGGGGAAGGAGGGGACGGAUCUCUUGGGCUGCCCCUGAGAGCCGAGGUGCUGGCCUGUGGGGAUGUGGAAGUACCCAGAGUUUCUUCUAUGUUUCAAAGCCAGGAGGACAUCACUUCUUCAAUUGGAGUAUCCAUUUGCGGGUAAUACAUUGCUAUCAGGCUGUUGGAAUAUGAUGUAAGGGUGCUUUGAACCACCUUCCUCCACAUAACCAUUGUGCAAGGGACGUCUUUUGGAUCCGU